GAGGGCGUAGCUCAGUGGUAGAGCACAUGCUUUGUGUGCAUGAGGUCCUACGUUCAAUCCCCAGUACCUCCA
rnacentral:tRNA from 1 species